rnacentral:snRNA from 1 species
AUACUUACUUUCCUCUGAUUGCUUCAGUGAUCAUUGAUACUGAGCAUCCAGAACGAGGUUUCGGCAUUGCACUUAGCUGAAAACUAAAUUCUGCUUUCAUUUCUUAUUGAAAUGAAGAGAGAGGUAAAUUUGUUAGCAGCGUCUCUGCGUUCGCGCUCAGACCAU